rnacentral:rRNA from 1 species
UACGUAGGGACCAAGCGUUGUUCGGAUUUACUGGGCGUAAAGGGCGCGUAGGCGGCAAUUCAAGUCAUCUGUGAAAUCUCCGGGCUUAACUCGGAACGGUCAGAUGAUACUGCUUUGCUCGAGUGCGGAAGGGGCAAUCGGAAUUCUUGGUGUAGCGGUGAAAUGCGUAGAUAUGACCCGGAACACCUAUUGCGAAGGCAGCAGGCUAAACAAAGAUUGACGCUGAGGCUCGAAAGCGUGGGGAUCAAACAGG